CGCCUCUUGAUAAACUAUAGGAGGUCCAGCCUGCCCAAUGACUAAUUAAAUGGCCGCGGUACCCUAACCGUGCAAAGGUAGCAUAAUAACUUGUCCUUUAAUUGAGGACUUGUAUGAACGGCAUCACGAAGGUUGAACUGUCUCCUUUCUUUAAUCAAUGAAACUGACCUUCCCGUGAAAAGGCGGGAAUUUUUAUACAAGACGAGAAGACCCCAUGGAGCUUUAGACCUAAAGCACAUUAUACCAUAACUUCAACAAAACCCAAAAUCCCUGACUCCAAGUCUUAGGUUGGGGCGACCAUGGAGUAUAACCCAACCUCCAUUUCGAACGGACAUAAUCCUUAUCCAAGAGCCACAACUCUAAGAAUCAAAAAACUGACGCCCACUGACCCAAAAAUUUGACCAUCGAACCAAGUUACCCUGGGGAUAACAGCGCCAUCCACCUCAAGAGCCCAUAUCGACAGGUGGGUUUACGACCUCGAUGUUGGAUCAGGGUAUCCAUGUGGUGCAGCCGCUACAUAAGGUUCGUUUGUUCAACGAUUUAAACCCU
rnacentral:rRNA from 1 species